CUGCGUGCUUGAAUCACAGUGACGGCUGCAUGCUGAUUUGCUAGGUCUUGGCUCAGACAAGGCUUGGUAAUGGUGUUUAACUGGUCUAAUGACAGGAGGUUAUCCAUCCGUUGGAGUUGUUGAUUUGAAAAUGUUGUUUUCCAAAAAUGAAAGAAGAUUGGUUCCAUUGUGUAGGAUCAGUUCUUUUUGGAGGUUCGGAUUUGAGCAGCAGAAAGGUCUUCCUUAGUCAAGCGAGUUGGAAACUGGAAUUUUCCUAAAUCAACUUGAACCAGCAUGCCUAUACAAGACCAUGGUACCACCUUGCUCGAUGAGUAUAGCUAGCGUGUUUCAUCCUCUGGGACAUUCUGUUGGAAUUAUGAAUGCUGUCUUUCUUGGCAUAUUGCUCCAGAACGGCAUGACAGGAAGAAUAUACCGGUUGCGAUGUUGGGAAUCAACUGGGUAUUUGGUGUUGUUUGAGCAGCACUUAAUAAGGUUAGGCAUCGUGCAAGACUUGGCUUUAUUGAAGGAUGAACUGGUCCUUCCUUGAAGCUUCUUUGUAGGACUAUGUAAGUCCAUUACUUGCUAUGCCUGAUGUUAUUGUGUUGGACAUUGUGUUGCUGUUUUGGUUUUUCUUGCAGGUUUCCUGAACUGUUGCUGCUGUUUUUGCAUCCCAACUGUAUAAUACAUCACCAUCAAAAGUUCCAUAAUGUGUUUGACAGCGACAUGCAAUAUAACCUCUUGCUCCAUCCCAUAAAACUUUUGAAGGAUAGUUCAUAUGUCCAGGAAGCAUUCUGAGUCUUCUACUUAUUGUGAUCAAUUUUUUUCCAUCGUGGAAUCAAAGGGCGUCCGAUGAGACUAGGCUAAACAUGUACACACCGUC